GAGGAACGCUGGCGGCGUGCCUAAUACAUGCAAGUCGAGCGAACAGAUGAGGAGCUUGCUCCUCUGACGUUAGCGGCGGACGGGUGAGUAACACGUGGAUAACCUACCUAUAAGACUGGGAUAACUUCGGGAAACCGGAGCUAAUACCGGAUAAUAUAUUGAACCGCAUGGUUCAAUAGUGAAAGACGGUUUUGCUGUCACUUAUAGAUGGAUCCGCGCCGCAUUAGCUAGUUGGUAAGGUAACGGCUUACCAAGGCAACGAUGCGUAGCCGACCUGAGAGGGUGAUCGGCCACACUGGAACUGAGGCACGGUCCAGACUCCUACGGGAGGCAGCAGUAGGGAAUCUUCCGCAAUGGGCGAAAGCCUGACGGAGCAACGCCGCGUGAGUGAUGAAGGUCUUCGGAUCGUAAAACUCUGUUAUUAGGGAAGAACAAAUGUGUAAGUAACUAUGCACGUCUUGACGGUACCUAAUCAGAAAGCCACGGCUAACUACGUG
rnacentral:rRNA from 1 species